rnacentral:rRNA from 1 species
AUUGAACGCUGGCGGCAGGCCUAACACAUGCAAGUCGAACGAGUGGCGGACGGGUGAGUAAUGUCUGGGAAACUGCCUGAUGGAGGGGGAUAACUACUGGAAACGGUAGCUAAUACCGCAUACCAUCAGAUGUGCCCAGAUGGGAUUAGCUAGUUGGUGGGGUAACGGAUCACCAAGGCGACGCUCCCUAGCUGGUCUGAGAGGAUGACCAGACACAAUGGAACUGAGAAACGGUCCAGACUCCGAAGGGAGGCAGCAGUGGGGAAUAUUGCAAAAGGGGCGCAAGCCUGAUGCAGCCAUGCCGCGGGGAUGAAGAAGGCCUUCGGGUUGUAAAGUACUUUCAGCGGGGAGGCGUUACCCGCAGAAGAAGCACCGGCUAACUCCGUGCCAGCAGCCGCGGUAAUUC